rnacentral:rRNA from 1 species
GCACGCCGGACGACGUCCGCGAGAAGUCCACUGAACCUUAUCAUUUAGAGGGAAGAGAAGUCGUAACAAGGUUUCCGUAGGUGAACCUACGGAAGGAUCACGGUCGAUGCCCCCCUGACCCGCGGACCGGUUCGCCCGGACGGCACAACAACCAACCCCCGGCGCCAGUCGCACCAAGGAAACGGAAAGAACACGGGCGCGCCCGUCCGGGGAGCACCGCCGCGCCACGAGUAUACCACGCAUACACAAAACGACUCUCGGCAACGGAUAUCUCGGCUCUCGUAUCGAUGAAGAACGUAGCGAAAUGCGAUACUUGGUGUGAAUUGCAGAAUCCCGUGAACCAUCGAGUCUUUGAACGCAAGUUGCGCCCGAAGCCAUCCGGCCGAGGGCAUGCCUGCCUGGGCGUCACGCAACGUCGCCCCCACCCCAUCGCGGGCGGGGCGGAGGAUGGCCUCCCGCGAGCACCCAUCUCCCAGAUGGCCGAAACGCGAGCGCGAGACGGCAGUCGCCACGAUCCACGGUGGGAGGAGCGGAACUCGCUCGCUCGAGACCGGCCGUGCGCGAGCUGCCGCCGCGCAGGACCCAGCGCGCCACGGGCGCUCCCGACGCGACCCCAGGUCAGGCGGGGACACCCGCUGAGUUUAAGCAUAUCAAUAAGCGGAGGAA